UGGGGAAUUUUGGACAAUGGGCGAAAGCCUGAUCCAGCAAUGCCGCGUGUGUGAAGAAGGCCUUCGGGUUGUAAAGCACUUUUGUCCGGAAAGAAAUCCUUGGCUCUAAUACAGUCGGGGGAUGACGGUACCGGAAGAAUAGGCACCGGCUAACUACGUGCCAGCAGCCGCGGUAAUACGUAGGGUGCAAGCGUUAAUCGGAAUUACUGGGCGUAAAGCGUGCGCAGGCGGUUUGCUAAGACCGAUGUGAAAUCCCCGGGCUCAACCUGGGAACUGCAUUGGUGACUGGCAGGCUAGAGUAUGGCAGAGGGGGGUAGAAUUCCACGUGUAGCAGUGAAAUGCGUAGAGAUGUGGAGGAAUACCGAUGGCGAAGGCAGCCCCCUGGGCCAAUACUGACGCUCAUGCACGAAAGCGUGGGGAGCAAACAGGAUUAGAUACCCUGGUAGUCCACGCCCUAAACGAUGUCAACUAGUUGUUGGGGGAUUCAUUUCCUUAGUAACGUAGCUAACGCGUGAAGUUGACCGCCUGGGGGAGUACGGUCGCAAGAUUAAAACUCAAAUGAAUUGACGGGGUCAUAGCUGUUUCCU
rnacentral:rRNA from 1 species